UACGAAGGGGGCAAGCGUUGUUCGGAAUUACUGGGCGUAAAGCGCACGUAGGCGGCUUUCUAAGUCAGGGGUGAAAUCCUGGAGCUCAACUCCAGAACUGCCUUUGAUACUGGAGAGCUUGAGUCCGGGAGAGGUGAGUGGAACUGCGAGUGUAGAGGUGAAAUUCGUAGAUAUUCGCAAGAACACCAGUGGCGAAGGCGGCUCACUGGCCCGGAACUGACGCUGAUGCACGAAAGCGUGGGGAG
rnacentral:rRNA from 1 species